rnacentral:rRNA from 1 species
CUUAGAUCGUUUCUUCCUACUUGGAUAACUGUGGCAAUUCUAGAGCUAAUACAUGCAGUGAGCCUGAAGCCCUUUGGGCGACGGGUGCUUUUAUUAGACCAAGAUCGAUCGGGUUUCGGCCCGUAUUGUGUGGUGACUCUGGAUAACUUUGUGCUGAUCGCAUGGCCACGAGCCGGCGACGUUUCUUUCAAGUGUCUGCCUUAUCAACUUUCGAUGGUAGGUUACUUGCUUACCAUGGUUGUUACGGGUAACGGAGAAUCAGGGUUCGAUUCCGGAGAGGGAGCCUGAGAAACGGCUACCACAUCCAAGGAAGGCAGCAGGCGCGCAAAUUACCCACUCCCGGCACGGGGAGGUAGUGACGAAAAAUAACAAUACGGGACUCUUUUGAGGCCCCGUAAUUGAAAUGAGUACACUCUAAAUCCUUUAACGAGGAUCAAUUGGAGGGCAAGUCUGGUGCCAGCAGCCGCGGUAAUUCCAGCUCCAAUAGCGUAUACUAAAGCUGCUGCGGUUAAAAAGCUCGUAGUUGGAUCUCAGUUCCAGACGAGUAGUGCAUCUACCCGAUGCGACGGCUCGGACUGAACAUCAUGCCGGUCCUUUCUUGGUGCACUUCAUUGUGUGCCUCGAGAAGGCCGGUGCUUUUACUUUGAAAAAAUUAGAGUGCUCAACGCAGGCGAGUCGCCUGAAUAAACUUGCAUGGAAUAAUAGAACAAGACCUCGUUUCUGUUCUGUUGGUUUUUGGAAUACGAGGUA